UACGUAGGGGGCAAGCGUUGUCCGGAAUUAUUGGGCGUAAAGAGCGUGUAGGCGGUCCGGUAAGUCAGCUGUGAAAGUCAAGGGCUCAACCCUUGAAAGCCGGUUGAUACUGUCGGGCUAGAGUCCGGAAGAGGCGAGUGGAAUUCCCGGUGUAGCGGUGAAAUGCGCAGAUAUCGGGAGGAACACCUGCGGUGUAGACAGCUUUCUGGACCACUUCUGACGCUGAGACACGAAAGCGUGGGUAGCAAACAGG
rnacentral:rRNA from 1 species